rnacentral:rRNA from 1 species
UACGGAGGAUGCAAGCGUUAUCCGGAAUGAUUGGGCGUAAAGCGUCCGCAGGUGGCUGUGUAAGUCUGCUGUCAAAGAGCGAAGCUCAACUUCGUAAAGGCAGUGGAAACUACACGGCUAGAGUGCGUUCGGGGCAGAGGGAAGUUCCUGGUGUAGCGGUGAAAUGCGUAGAGAUCAGGAAGAACACCGGUGGCGAAGGCGCUCUGCUAGGCCGCAACUGACACUGAGGGACGAAAGCUAGGGAGCGAAUGG